rnacentral:rRNA from 1 species
GUGUCAGCAGCCGCGGUAAUACGGAGGGUGCAAGCGUUAUCCGGAUUCACUGGGUUUAAAGGGUGCGUAGGUGGGUCUGUAAGUCAGUGGUGAAAUCCCCGAGCUUAACUUGGGAACUGCCAUUGAUACUAUCUGUCUUGAAUUAUCUGGAGGUGAGCGGAAUAUGUCAUGUAGCGGUGAAAUGCUUAGAUAUGACAUAGAACACCAAUUGCGAAGGCAGCUGGCUACACGAAUAUUGACACUGAUGCACGAAAGCGUGGGGAUCAAACAGGAUUAGAUACCCUAGUAGUCC